rnacentral:rRNA from 1 species
GAUGAACGCUGGCGGCGUGCCUAAUACAUGCGAGUCGAGCGAACGGACGAGAAGCUUGCUUCUCUGAUGUUAGCCGCGGACGGGUGAGUAACACGUGGAUAACCUACCUAUAAGACUGGGAUAACUUCGGGAAACCGGAGCUAAUACCGGAUAAUAUUUUGAACCGCAUGGUUCAAAAGUGAAAGACGGUCUUGCUGUCACUUAUAGAUGGAUCCGCGCUGCAUUAGCUAGUUGGUAAGGUAACGGCUUACCAAGGCAACGAUGCAUAGCCGACCUGAGAGGGUGAUCGGCCACACUGGAACUGAGACACGGUCCAGACUCCUACGGGAGGCAGCAGUAGGGAAUCUUCCGCAAUGGGCGAAAGCCUGACGGAGCAACGCCGCGUGAGUGAUGAAGGUCUUCGGAUCGUAAAACUCUGUUAUUAGGGAAGAACAUAUGUGUAAGUAACUGUGCACAUCUUGACGGUACCUAAUCAGAAAGCCACGGCUAACUACGUG